rnacentral:rRNA from 1 species
UACGUAGGGGGCAAGCGUUGUCCGGAAUCAUUGGGCGUAAAGAGCGUGUAGGCGGUUCGGUAAGUCGGCUGUGAAAGUCCAGGGCUCAACCCUGGGAUGCCGGUGGAUACUGUCGGGCUCGAGUCCGGAAGAGGCGAGUGGAAUUCCUGGUGUAGCGGUGAAAUGCGCAGAUAUCAGGAGGAACACCAAUGGCGAAGGCAGCUCGCUGGGACGGUACUGACGCUGAGACGCGAAAGCGUGGGGAGCAAACAGG